UACGUAGGGUGCGAGCGUUGUCCGGAAUUACUGGGCGUAAAGAGCUCGUAGGUGGUUUGUCGCGUUGUUCGUGAAAACUCACAGCUCAACUGUGGGCGUGCGGGCGAUACGGGCAGACUGGAGUACUGCAGGGGAGACUGGAAUUCCUGGUGUAGCGGUGGAAUGCGCAGAUAUCAGGAGGAACACCGGUGGCGAAGGCGGGUCUCUGGGCCGAGUAACUGACGCUGAGGAGCGAAAGCGUGGGGAGCGAACAGG
rnacentral:rRNA from 1 species